rnacentral:SRP_RNA from 1 species
CCGUGCUAGCCGGGGUGGUAGCGGUACCCUGUACCCACAAUCCGCUAUAGUGGGGGUGACGUUUGCUUUCGGCGCAGAAUUUGGCAGCCUGCCCUUUGGAAGGGAUGUUGAAGUUCAAGUCUUGCACAACAGGAGCCUGUGAACCGUGUCAGGGUCGGAAGGCAGCAGCACUAAGCAGUCUACUUCUGUGUGUGUCAAGGGUGCUUGGAUGGAGUUUCGGAAGGAGGUAACGUGUUGGAGACUGCGACAACAGCAAAUGCACGG